UACGUAGGUGGCAAGCGUUGUCCGGAAUUAUUGGGCGUAAAGCGCGUGUAGGCCGCCUUGCAAGUCGGGUGUGAAAGCCCUCAGCUCAACUGAGGAAGUGCGCCCGAAACUGCAGAGCUUGAGUACCGGAGAGGAUGGUGGAAUUCCCCAAGUAGAGGUGAAAUUCGUAGAUAUGGGGAGGAACACCGGUGGCGAAGGCGACCAUCUGGACGGAUACUGACGCUGAGGAGCGAAAGCGUGGGGAGCGAACAGG
rnacentral:rRNA from 1 species